GUCCAAGACUCUUCCUAACUCUCUGCUCCACCAUCCUCAGUGUAUUGGCGUGCCGACUCGUCUCAAGAUUGCUGCAUUAUUUCAGGGCAUCUCAUCUGUAUUCCCAGCAGCAACAAGGGGAAUAGAUGAACACCUGUUAGUCUUCCAUUGGCUCUUUUGAGACCAGUAUUUGCCAAAUAAAGUUGGUCUGCGGUUUAGUGAACAUCUCAGUCAUCCAUUUCAGAGCUCAGGAGGGAGGAGGAGACAGGAGUCAGAAGAGAGGAGCUGGACAGGAAUCACUCCACUGAGCAAGGGGCCGAGGGGGAAUAAGGAGGAAGGGCGGUACAAUGCAGCUUGGCUGGUCUACGCCCCUGUCACAACACCAGAGGAAAAGGUCACUUAACAUGGAGUGAUUUAGCAUAGACAGAAUGGAAUCUCUUCCAAAAUUCAUGCACCAUUGAAGAAAGAAUCUUCCAUAUCAACCAGCUAUUCAGUGUACCGUGGAUUUUCUGAUUCACGUCUUAAUAGCUGGAAGAUAUAUGAUCUUAUUAUACAAAACAACCACUUCAUCUCUACAGAAACUUAUUAUUGGAAUAUAUGAUUAUAAUGUUCUACAGAGGGUGUGAGGCAUAACCUUUGUCAAGUUUAGACUACAUGCCAUGGAGCUGGAACCUCGUCUUCAGGAGUAUUAUUUAGAAAUUACUUCAAUAAAAUUAUAAACACCAUUUCAAGUUAAGACAUUUACAACAUUUGAUAGAAAUGUGAUUAUUUGUAUUAUUCUAUGAUGAGACUACUACGUAUUAUUAUUAA